rnacentral:rRNA from 1 species
AUUGAACGCUGGCGGCAGGCCUAACACAUGCAAGUCGAGCGAGAAAGCACUUCGGUGUGAGUAGAGCGGCGGACGGGUGAGUAACGCGUAGGAAUCUACCUGGUAGUGGGGGACAACUCGGGGAAACUCGAGCUAAUACCGCAUACGCCCUUCGGGGGAAAGCCGGGGGAUCUUCGGACCUCGCGCUAUUGGAUGAGCCUGCGUCGGAUUAGCUUGUUGGUGGGGUAAAGGCCCACCAAGGCGACGAUCCGUAGCUGGUCUGAGAGGAUGAUCAGCCACACUGGGACUGAGACACGGCCCAGACUCCUACGGGAGGCAGCAGUGGGGAAUAUUGCGCAAUGGGGGCAACCCUGACGCAGCCAUGCCGCGUGUGUGAAGAAGGCCCUAGGGUUGUAAAGCACUUUCAAUAGGGAGAAAAGGCCCACGGAUAAUACCCGUGGGAGCUGAUGUUACCUAUAGAAGAAGCACCGGCUAACUCCGUG